AGGGUUCGAUUCUGGCUCAGGAUGAACGCUAGCUACAGGCUUAACACAUGCAAGUCGAGGGGAAACGAUAUUGAAAGCUUGCUUCUUUAGGCGUCGACCGGCGAAUGGGUGAGUAACGCGUAUCCAACCUGCCCCUGAGUAAGGGAUAGCCCAUCGAAAGAUGGAUUAAUACCUUAUGGUUUCCUUUGAAGGCAUCCGAUUAGGAAUAAAGAUUUAUCGCUGAGGGAUGGGGAUGCGUCUGAUUAGCUUGUUGGCGGGGUAACGGCCCACCAAGGCGACGAUCAGUAGGGGUUCUGAGAGGAAGGUCCCCCACAUUGGUACUGAGACACGGACCAAACUCCUACGGGAGGCAGCAGUGAGGAAUAUUGGUCAAUGGGCGCAAGCCUGAACCAGCCAAGUAGCGUGCAAGGAUGACUGCCCUAUGGGUUGUAAACUGCUUUUAUACGGGGAUAAAGUCAGAGUCGUGACCCUGUUUGCAGGUACCGUAUGAAUAAGGACCGGCUAAUUCCGUGCCAGCCGCAGC
rnacentral:rRNA from 1 species